AUGAGUUCCCAGAGUGUAAAACACAUCUCAGAGUGCUUUGUCCAGCCACAGCAUGCUUCAGAUGAAUCAAAGCAGCCCUUGUACUUGGCACCCACCGAUCUUCCCAUGCUCUCUGCCCACUAUAUCCAAAAAGGUCUUCUUUUUGCCAAGCCUCCAGAAGCCAUGAAUGAUAACAAGAAGGCAGAUUUCAUUAAUGCUCUGCUCGAAAAGCUCAAGCACUCUCUCUCCCUGGCCCUUGUUCAUUUCUACCCACUUGCAGGUCGCCUUGCAACAAAGAAAGAAGAAAACCCACCGCUCUAUUUGGUUUAUAUAGAUUGCAACAACAGCCCUGGAGCAAAAUUCAUCUAUGCAACUCUAGACAUGUCCAUCUCUGACAUCCUUUCACCAACUGAUGUGCCUUUGGUUGUUCAGUCGUUUUUUAACCAUGACAGAGCAGUCAACCAUGACGGGCACACCAUGUCUUUGCUAACAGCUCAGGUCACGGAGCUGGUGGAUGGCAUCUUCAUAGGGCUUUCCAUGAACCACUGCCUUGCUGAUGGUACCUUUUACUGGCAUUUCUUCAACAGUUGGUCUGAAAUCUUUCAGGCACAAACACAAACACAUGCCAGUCAAAAACAAUAAUAUCAUACCCUAUAUCUAAAGACCACCAGUCCUCAAGCGGUGGUUUCCAGAAGGUCAUGAUCCAAUCAUCAGCCUCCCUUAAACGCACCCAGAUGAGUUCAUUGGCAGAUUUGAAGCUCCCAAACUCAGAGAGAGAAUGUUUCACUUCUCCUCAGAAGCCUUAGCCAAACUCAAAGCAAAGGCCAAUGCAGAGGCUAAAACAACCAAAAUCUCUUCCUUCCAGUCCUUCUCUGCCCUUCUCUGGCGCUGCAUUACCCGGGUUCGGCGUCUACCUCCUAGCCAGUCAACCAGCUGCAGGUUGGCUGCGAAUAACAGAGCAAGAUUAGACCCACCAUUGUCUGGAGAUUACUUUGGGAACUCAAUUCACCCGAUCAAAUCAGAAGUUGUGACCGCAGGUGAAUUGCUUGAACAUGGGCUUGGAUGGGCAGCGUGGAAGUUGCAUGAGGCUGUCGUUAACCUCGAUGACAAGUCGAUACGAGAGUUCAUUGAUGCUUGGUUGCAGUCUCGAAUGGUGUACCAAACAGGCCAGUUUUUCGAUCCGCACAGUGUGAUGAUGGGAAGCUCCCCAUGGUUCAACAUGUACGGAAACGAAUUUGGAAUGGGAAAAGCAUUGGCGCUUCGAAGUGGAUAUGCAAAUAAGUUUAGCGGCAAAGUGUCGUCUUACUCGGGAGGCGAAAGAGGAAGCAUAGACUUGGAGGUUUGUCUUGUACCUGAUGCAAUGGGUGCUAUUGAAUGUGACCAUGAGUUCAUGGAAGCUGCCUCUGUAACCCAUUAUUAG